rnacentral:misc_RNA from 1 species
GGAAGACUAAAAAGCAUUACUUGGAGUCUUCAUAAUAAGAAACAAGGAAUAUGUACUGAAUAAUUAGACAAAGUUGAACAAUAAUCCAAUAUAUACAAAUCAUUAAUCAACAUCUUGUAAUCUUGAUAAUGCAUUCAUCUGUUUCUACACCUUUCUGCUGGAAAAAUGAGGUUUUGUUAAUCAAUGUAUCGAUUCACGUCCUCUGUUGUCCCUGCUUUUUCACCCCAUUCCGCAGUAUUGGUGCUUGUAGAAUUCAAGAACUGCUCUUCUUUCCUCCAUUUCCGAAGGCCCCAAUAGGUUGUGCAAGAAUGCGCUUCAUUGCCUUCACUCCCAGUGGGUUGCCCUUGCUCAUUGAGCAUGUUCCUUGACGAACAUUGCAGAUAGGAUAGUCG